UACAGGAAAGCUUAGUUCGGCCCCUGUACAAGGAUGACAUGCCAAUUCGUGAAGCAUUCCAUAUUUAU
rnacentral:snRNA from 1 species